rnacentral:lncRNA from 1 species
GCGGUGCUAUGGCUGGACGCUAUACCUUAGACCUUAUAAGAUCGUUGCAGGAAACCUGGGUUUUUCUUUGCAAACAAGCUCAUUCAAAGAUGCAUUGGUCAUUGUCAAUUGCGCCAUAAAUGUGGAUGCAAGAAAACAGUAAGAAGCGUUUUAAAUCCCACAGCACUAAAAUAUUAAAGCAAUUAAUCCAUUAAAAGAAACAUUAUUAAAACAUUAUUAAUCAUCAUAGGUUUAAAAUAGGUCGACUAAUGUUUUACUGUAAAUUAAUUUCUGGCGAUUGAGUCUUUUUGAGAAUGAGUGAUUCAAUUCUAAACCUAAUAAAUUAUAAAAGUAGAAAGUAUGGGAAAAACUCAUUUUUUGAUGGAUUUGAUGGAGGUAUAACUUCUUAAGUAGGUAGUGAAAUAUAGGAUCAAUCUGCUUUUAUCAUGAAUUAAUUAAUUACGAACCCAUUGCUCUUAAAUGCAAUAGAUCCUUAAAAAUUUGAGAAUAUGCUUGAAGUCUUCUAUUCAUAUCAAAUGAAGGUGGAUGAGUACUACAUAGUACAAUGCGUAACAGGUGGUUGCUGCAUGUGUAGUUUUUGCGAACAGAUGGCCAUAUAGUGGUUAGUGCUAGGGUCUUUUAAAGCAUAGCCUGAUUCCUCAUAUAAUUUUUUUAGGCCUUAAGAAUACAUUUUAUGGCUCGUCAAUGUACUUUAAGGUGAAUUUGUGCCUGAGCAAUACUUACCUCUGUAAGUUAGUAUUGCUUAGGCUAUUUCAUCAAUCAUCAAUAACUCAAUUUUCGAUUUUUUGGCGCUUGAGUCCUUUUGAGAAUGACCGAGUUAGUUGUGCCUUGAUGUGAAAGUUGCAACGUCGUAUUUUUCAUGAUUUUCGAAAUUGCUAUCCAGUACUUUACCACCGUGCUCCAAUGUAGUACCAACUUGUUUCUUUUUUUCUUUUUCUCGAAGGUUUGUGGAGGAAGCAUUUCCGGGAAGUAUUAACAUUCCUUUUGGAACCAUCGACUUUGGAGGUGCAGAUUCAGACUCAUCACCAUUACCUCCAAGCCCAGAACUCAGCAUAUUAUACAACAAUAAAGGGAAAGUAGUAAUCAUCAUUAGUGAGGAGGCAGCCAGUGCAGCCAAGGUGGGCCGAUUACUAGUCAAGCUCAACUUUCCUAAAGUAUGCAGUCUUCACGGAGGCAUAAGUGUCCUUAGGCUCUGUCACAUACUUGUUCCUUCCAUAACUUAAACAAUUUUGAUUGCAAUGAGUUCAAAUGUAUUGCUGUAAGUAUUCAACAAUGCAUAUUUCCAUUGGUGUUUAAAAACAGAGAUUUUGAAUCUAGACUUGCGUUUAAAAGAUUUUGAUUUCAAUUCUUGGCGGCAUCGCCACUAUUUUGAGCGUUCCAUCCACGUUUGAGUGUCGUUUAAUCCUUCAACAGAAAUGCAAAAUUUAAUGUAACCAUGUCUCAAAUAGAAAUGCAAAAUCUAAUUUAAUCAUACGUCUCACUACUCAUGCUUGUACAUUUAUGUGCAUUUUGUUAAAGAAAUUGUAGGUAUACAUAUUAUAAACUUUAUUUAUUUUUAUUUCACUUGUUUCAAUAUACAUUUUUUUUUACACGGGAUGGCUUAUUUUAAGGAGCUCCUCAACCCUCGACUCAUGUACUUGGUUCUUGAGGAUGAAUUUUCCCCAUUAAAAAAGCAUACCAAUUAUCUACACCUUAAAUGCAACUGGUAAAAAUCAACAAUACAGGCUCUCUAAAGGAGGGGUAUCGAUCAGGACCUUUUUUGGCCCCCUCUAGAAUCUGAGUAUUUAUGCGGGUUUUCCAAAGUGACUCAAUGUAGUUUAAGGGAAUAAUCAUGAUUUGGUCCAUAGGUCACCGGAUAAGUGUUGAACGGUUGCCUGAACAUUCGUCUGCAGGCGCUUUUUGGCGAAAAUGCGUGUUUUUCUAUCACACUGAAGGUUAUUUGACACCGAGCGCAUUGUCUAACUAAAAUGAGCUUUUAAUAUGUUAUCGAAGAAGCUUUAAGGACACAUUUUAACCCUGGUUUGGUUUUAGUUAGAUGAUGCGCUCAUAUUUUAAAAAAACUUUUUCAAAAGUCGACUUUUAAGGGACAUCCGUUAAAAUCUUGGAGAAUUACAUCGUUAGGGUUUUUUUUUUUGGCUUCAAUUGAAGAAAAUCUCCUUAUAAGAGUUUAACAAGGCUUGACAACUGCCCUUGAUAAUAUAAGUAGCGUUUAUACAGUUGGAGAGAUGUGUUAGCAUAAGAUUUUUGCGGGUGUCCCUUAAAAGUCGACUUUUGAAAAAGUUUUCUUUAACUAUGAGCGCAUCAUCUAACUAAAACCAAACCAGGGUUAAAAUGUGUCCUAAAGUCUCCUUGAUAACAUGUCAAAAGCUCGUUUUAGUUAGACAAUGCGCACGGUGUCAAAAAGCCUUGGAGUUAUAGAAAAACACGCAUUUUCGCUAAAAUACGCCUGCAGACAUAUGUUCAGGCAACCGUUUAAACACAUAUCCAGUGGCCCAUGGAUCAAAUCAUGAUUAUUUCCGUAAACUACACUAAGUCAACUCGGAAAACCCGCAAAAAUUCCCAGAUUCUAGGGGGGGGGGGGGCCAAAAAAGGAGGGCCCUCUAGGGAGGAUCAAAAAGGCUCUUAUCGAUACCUCUCCUUUCACAAUGCUAUAGCGACUGUUAUCUAAGGAUUGUAAUUUUGUGAACUUCCCCCGAGUUUGAGGACUCAAAUUCUUUGAAGUAUGCUUGAUGUGCAGUGAAUGCUCUCUAUAGUUCCAACAUGUUAUAGGGAACCUAAGAGCCUACCCCCCCUCCUUCCCCUUGCAGGACUUAAAUACUAGCUACUUUUCAGGUGUGGUGAGUCUUAUCUAGAUACAUUAGCAGAGUUGAUACGAUUCGGUAGCUGGAUAGUGGAUAGACGCCCAGUAAAUAUUUGGGGAAUACUUCUUUCAUAAAAAGGUUUUACAAGCAAGAUGGAAAAGAGUACAUGGAUGAAGCCACAGUUCAGUACAUAGAUUAGAAACUUUUCUCUAACAUGCGCAAU